GGUUAAGCGACUAAGCGUACACGGUGGAUGCCCUGGCAGUCAGAGGCGAUGAAGGACGUGCUAAUCUGCGAUAAGCGCCGGUAAGGUGAUAUGAACCGUUAUAACCGGCGAUUUCCGAAUGGGGAAACCCAGUGUGACUCGUCACACUAUCAUUAACUGAAUCCAUAGGUUAAUGAGGCGAACCGGGGGAACUGAAACAUCUAAGUACCCCGAGGAAAAGAAAUCAACCGAGAUUCCCCCAGUAGCGGCGAGCGAACGGGGAGGAGCCCAGAGCCUGAAUCAGCAUGUGUGUUAGUGGAAGCGUCUGGAAAGGCGCGCGAUACAGGGUGACAGCCCCGUACACAAAAGCGCAUGUGCUGUGAGCUCGAUGAGUAGGGCGGGACACGUGGUAUCCUGUCUGAAUAUGGGGGGACCAUCCUCCAAGGCUAAAUACUCCUGACUGACCGAUAGUGAACCAGUACCGUGAGGGAAAGGCGAAAAGAACCCCGGCGAGGGGAGUGAAAAAGAACCUGAAACCGUGUACGUACAAGCAGUGGGAGCCCCACCACUAAGCCAGUGGUGAACUCCACAUACGCAUCCUUUGCUGAGGAUACGGUUAACGGAGCGCAAGCGACGUUCAACCGCAAAAGAAGCAGAGGGGGCUUAGUGGUGGGGUGACUGCGUACCUUUUGUAUAAUGGGUCAGCGACUUAUAUUCUGUAGCAAGGUUAACCGAAUAGGGGAGCCGGAGGGAAACCGAGUCUUAAUUGGGCGUUAAGUUGCAGGGUAUAGACCCGAAACCCGGUGAUCUAGCCAUGGGCAGGUUGAAGGUUGGGUAACACUAACUGGAGGACCGAACCGACUAAUGUUGAAAAAUUAGCGGAUGACCUGUGGCUGGGGGUGAAAGGCCAAUCAAACCGGGAGAUAGCUGGUUCUCCCCGAAAGCUAUUUAGGUAGCGCCUCGUGAAUUCAUCUCCGGGGGUAGAGCACUGUUUCGGCUAGGGGGCCAUCCCGGCUUACCAACCCGAUGCAAACUGCGAAUACCGGAGAAUGUUAUCACGGGAGACACACGGCGGGUGCUAACGUCCGUCGUGAAGAGGGAAACAACCCAGACCGCCAGCUAAGGUCCCAAAGUCAUGGUUAAGUGGGAAACGAUGUGGGAAGGCCCAGACAGCCAGGAUGUUGGCUUAGAAGCAGCCAUCAUUUAAAGAAAGCGUAAUAGCUCACUGGUCGAGUCGGCCUGCGCGGAAGAUGUAACGGGGCUAAACCAUGCACCGAAGCUGCGGCAGCGACACUAUGUGUUGUUGGGUAGGGGAGCGUUCUGUAAGCCUGUGAAGGUGGCCUGUGAGGGUUGCUGGAGGUAUCAGAAGUGCGAAUGCUGACAUAAGUAACGAUAAAGCGGGUGAAAAGCCCGCUCGCCGGAAGACCAAGGGUUCCUGUCCAACGUUAAUCGGGGCAGGGUGAGUCGACCCCUAAGGCGAGGCCGAAAGGCGUAGUCGAUGGGAAACGGGUUAAUAUUCCCGUACUUGGUGUUACUGCGAAGGGGGGACGGAGAAGGCUAUGUUGGCCGGGCGACGGUUGUCCCGGUUUAAGCGUGUAGGUGUGUGUUCCAGGUAAAUCCGGUUCACUUUAACACUGAGGCGUGACGACGAGGCACUACGGUGCUGAAGCAACAAAUGCCCUGCUUCCAGGAAAAGCCUCUAAGCAUCAGGUAACACGAAAUCGUACCCCAAACCGACACAGGUGGUCAGGUAGAGAAUACCAAGGCGCUUGAGAGAACUCGGGUGAAGGAACUAGGCAAAAUGGUGCCGUAACUUCGGGAGAAGGCACGCUGACACGUAGGUGAAGUGAUUUACUCACGGAGCUGAAGUCAGUCGAAGAUACCAGCUGGCUGCAACUGUUUAUUAAAAACACAGCACUGUGCAAACACGAAAGUGGACGUAUACGGUGUGACGCCUGCCCGGUGCCGGAAGGUUAAUUGAUGGGGUCAGCGCAAGCGAAGCUCCUGAUCGAAGCCCCGGUAAACGGCGGCCGUAACUAUAACGGUCCUAAGGUAGCGAAAUUCCUUGUCGGGUAAGUUCCGACCUGCACGAAUGGCGUAAUGAUGGCCAGGCUGUCUCCACCCGAGACUCAGUGAAAUUGAACUCGCUGUGAAGAUGCAGUGUACCCGCGGCAAGACGGAAAGACCCCGUGAACCUUUACUAUAGCUUGACACUGAACAUUGAGCCUUGAUGUGUAGGAUAGGUGGGAGGCUUUGAAGUGUGGACGCCAGUCUGCAUGGAGCCGACCUUGAAAUACCACCCUUUGAUGUUUGAUGUUCUAACGUGGACCCGUUACCCGGGUUGCGGACAGUGUCUGGUGGGUAGUUUGACUGGGGCGGUCUCCUCCUAAAGAGUAACGGAGGAGCACGAAGGUUGGCUAAUCCUGGUCGGACAUCAGGAGGUUAGUGCAAUGGCAUAAGCCAGCUUGACUGCGAGCGUGACGGCGCGAGCAGGUGCGAAAGCAGGUCAUAGUGAUCCGGUGGUUCUGAAUGGAAGGGCCAUCGCUCAACGGAUAAAAGGUACUCCGGGGAUAACAGGCUGAUACCGCCCAAGAGUUCAUAUCGACGGCGGUGUUUGGCACCUCGAUGUCGGCUCAUCACAUCCUGGGGCUGAAGUAGGUCCCAAGGGUAUGGCUGUUCGCCAUUUAAAGUGGUACGCGAGCUGGGUUUAGAACGUCGUGAGACAGUUCGGUCCCUAUCUGCCGUGGGCGCUGGAGAACUGAGGGGGGCUGCUCCUAGUACGAGAGGACCGGAGUGGACGCAUCACUGGUGUUCGGGUUGUCAUGCCAAUGGCACUGCCCGGUAGCUAAAUGCGGAAGAGAUAAGUGCUGAAAGCAUCUAAGCACGAAACUUGCCCCGAGAUGAGUUCUCCCUGAGACUUAAAGUCUCCUGAAGGAACGUUGAAGACGACGACGUUGAUAGGCCGGGUGUGUAAGCGCAGCGAUGCGUUGAGCUAACCGGUACUAAUGAACCGUGAGGCUUAACCUU
rnacentral:rRNA from 1 species